UUUUUUCCAACUAAAUUAGACAUCGGGCCGAGCCGGACUUAAAUUUUUAUAUAAAUCCCAAGCUCGAAGAGUGCGGGCUUGAGCGGGCCGGGCGAGUACCCAGGGUCAUGAAUAGGUCUAAUAUAAAUCAAGAGGAUAGUCAAAAGACCCAACUUACAAUGGAAAUAAAAAAAUUUAAAUAAAAUGGUGCAUCACCCAUUAAAUUCAAGAAAUUAAAUUUAAAGCCUAAGAAAAUUUGGCCGACAAUUCUAUAACAACACCACCCAACAAAAUGGAGCAGAGACUUCAACUAAACUCAUUAGAAGCAAAAUGAUACAUCGACAUUGUUGGAUCAAAAUCCAACUCAUUUGAUUUGCAAGGUGCUCACAGUAAAGCUCAAGAAAUAAAAGCUUAAGGUAUAAUAAAGCAGACUGUCAUUGUCUAUCUAUGGCCCUGCGACCUAUAAGCUUCCAUUAAUGAUGGUAGACAUAAGCAAAAAUAGGAGAUAUGAACUCGAGCAUAUAAUCGUUUCGAGUCUUUUCAAACAAAGCCAUCAACUCUUUCUCUCCAUUUGACUUUCGUUUGUUGAUGGGAAUCCACAGGUCUAAAGCUGGUGAUAUCGCGGUACUGAGAUUUAACUAAACAAAGACCACCGCAAUGGAAUCUUGCACCAAAAUCACAAAAUAAGAGGAGUUAGCUUUUGGUGGCUAAAGCCCUAUAAGCCACCUCUCUGGAAACCCUAAGUCUUGGUACAGGCACAAAAGUCCUGUAAUGGUUUAUUAAUUUAGAUUGUUUAAUAUUAAUAUGUUGUCAUUAGUUUGAUUGUUUUUGAAUUUAC
rnacentral:lncRNA from 1 species